CCCAGCAGGAUAAUGGUUCACCGCUUACAUUUUUCUUUGAAGAAUACUUCGAAGAAAAUUCGAUGUAGAAUUCUUCGAUACCUGGUAAUGCAUAAAAGUAAGCUAUGCGGAACUUCGCUUACAUUUUUCUUGAAGAAUACUUCGAAGAAAAUUCUAUGUAGAAUUCUUCGAUACCAGGUAAUGCAUAAAAGUAAGCUAUGCGGAACUUCGCUUACAUUUUUCUUGAAGAAUACUUCGAAGAAAAUUCUAUGUAGAAUUCUUCGAUACCAGGUAAUGCAUAAAAGUAAGCUAUGCGGAACUUCGCUUACAUUUUUCUUGAAGAAUACUUCGAAGAAAAUUCUAUGUAGAAUUCUUCGAUACCAGGUAAUGCAUAAAAGUAAGCUAUACGGCUAAAUUCUACUGUGUUCAUAUUUACAAAUCAAGUAAGUACAUGAAAAACGACAAAUACAAAUUGAUGGAAUAAAA